CCCUCCGAGGUCUUUUUCACCCUCCCUGUGUUUAAACUCGCAUUUUAUGGUCGGAGUUUUAAGGGAGGCUACCCCAGAUGUGAAGUUUGGAGUUGACUCCCCCAGACACUUUAUCACGACGCUCCCGUCAGUUCCCUUCUCCAUCCUGAAGUUUACAAAUCUAUGCCGAAUUCCUUCCUGAUGUUCUUUUUGUAAAAGGAAAAGUGCACAAUCAGAACAAGAAGGAGAUAUAGAAGUUUGAAAAUUCCUUCUCCCAGGGAAGAAAAAGGAGAGAGGAAACAUUCAAGUUAUCACCAAGAGGCAGAAGGGCAAUGCACUAUUGCUUGCUGAUGUAAAGCCUUCCUGUUCAAUCCAUGUUUAUAUCAGUUGGAUUUGAGGAAAAGAAUAAAUAUUUAACUCAAAAGUCAAAAUUUUCUGGCCUCCAAGAUUAAGGAUAAGCCUGGCCAGUAAAAGGUACAUGGGACAUAUGUACUAUUAGAGAUUAUCGUAGACAUUCCAAGAGCUGCAUCAGUAAGUCUUUAAAAUUAUUUUUCUCUGCAUUUUAAGGAAAGAAAACUUCAUUAUUUUCUUUCCUGAAAUUUGUAAAUAGACAAAUAUUGACAACAUUUAUGAUCUUGUGAAAACAUGAUACUUAAGGCUAUGUAUAUAUGCAAUAGUUUAACAUGCAUAAAAUCUAUAAGAGGCGUAAAAGCUGCCAUUUAGGACAUCAAGUCAAACCCACUGCUCAGGGCAGGGCAACCUGCAAAAGGCUACUCCGUCCACCUAAAGACAUUUGUUGAAAUGAAGUUCAUCACCUCCCUU